AAGUUGUAACAAGGUUUCUGUAGGUAAACCUGCAGAAGGAUUAUUAUUGUAGGGCUUCGAGCCCUGUCAAGAUAGAACCCUUGCCUUUAUAAGUACCGUCUGUUUCCUUGGCAGGUCUGCCUGCUAAUAGACCCAAAACCAAACCCUUUUAUUACCUGUAUCAGUCUGAAAAAUAAACAAAAAUUAAAA
rnacentral:misc_RNA from 1 species